CGGGUGCGUAACGCGUAUCGAACCUGCCGCAUACCCGGGGAUAGCCUUGCGAAAGCAAGAUUAAUACCCGAUGUUCUCACUGUUCCGCAUGUUACGGUGAGCAAAGAAUUUCGGUAUGCGAUGGCGAUGCGUCCCAUUAGCUAGUUGGCGGGGUAACGGCCCACCAAGGCUCCGAUGGGUAGGGGUUCUGAGAGGAAGGUCCCCCACACUGGUACUGAGACACGAUCCACAAUUAAACGGGAGGAAGCAGUGAGGAAUAUUGGUCAAUGGACGCAAGUCUGAACCAGCCAAGUAGCGUGCACGAUGACGGCCCUCCGGGAUGAAAACUGCUUUUACUUGGGAAUAAAACGGGGCUCGUGAGCCCCGUAUUGUAUGUACCAUCAUAAAAAGGAUCGGCUAAUUCCGUGCCAGCAGCCGCGGUAAUACGGAAGGUACGGGCGUUAUCCGGAUUUAUUGGGUUUAAAGGGAGCGUAGGCCGGCUUUUAAGUCCGCUGUGAAAGUCCGCGGCUCAACCGUGGAAUUGCAGUUGAAACUGGAGGCCUUGAGUGCACACAGGGAUGCCGGAAUUCACGGCGUAGCGGUGAAAUGCUUAGAUAUCAUGAAGAACUCCGAUCGCGAAUGCAAGUGUCCGGGGUGCAACUGA
rnacentral:rRNA from 1 species